GGAGUCAGCCACCAGAAAAUAGUGAUGUGACUGGAAACAGGAGUGUUUAACUUUUUUUUUUUUUUUUCUUUUUAUGGUCACAGCUGCAGCAUAUGGAAGUUCCUGCGCUAGGGGUUGAAUCCAAGCUGCAGCUGUAGGCCCACACCAUAGCAACACAAGAUCCAAGCCAGAUCCUUAACUCACUGAGCAAGGCCGGGGAUGGACCAUACAUCCUCAAGGACACUAUGUCAAGUACUUAACAUGCUGAGCCACAACAGGAACUCCUGAGGGUUUGACUUUUACUCACCACUAUCUGUACUGCUUUCAGCAGAAAUAAAGACUACACCGGUAUCACUCCCUUAGUUGGUCCCCCACCUCAUCCCCAGAAAAUGUAAGACAGUAUAAGGGAAAAUACAGAGCAUCAUCACAGGGUGUAAAGUGAGAUUUGCGGGUUGACCAGGUAAUGAGGCCACCAGAAGAGAGAAGAGUACUAGGGAACUCUUUUAUACUGCUGAGGACAAGACAGCACUUGAGGGGAUCUCAUGCUGAUAAAGAAGAUAACAGUGGCUUGUGAUUAUUCUAACGGAAACAUAGUAAUGGAGCUUUCCCAAGGAGAUGUAUUCAUUCUCUAUGAAGAAUAUUUCUCUUCCUUGUGCAAGAAGUUCAUAGAGUAAUGCAAAAUACAUACGUGAGCCAUAAAUUUGACCUUUCCAGUCAUUUGUUACAACCAUGAAGUAAUUGUUUGGCAUCAGCACAAAAAAUAAUUCAUGUAUUCGAAACCUAAGUAUAUCCUUCAGAGGACAAGUACACAUUUACUCAAUUUCUGUAGACACAGAUUUUUGUCACUGUAUACUAUAACAACAAACAUUUAAUUACUGAAAUUUAUGAAUUGUUUUCUAAUAAUAACACAUAGCUACACAGUUCCUGAGUUUAGUUCUUAUCCAGUGAUGAGUUAUUUAUUAGAUUAAAUCAAGAUGACACACUACCUUAAAGAGAGUGGAUAAAAUAGAAAGUGUUCAGACUUUGAAAUAAGUUAAAAUAUCUGUGUUCAAAUGUUUGCUAAACCAUUACUUGAUGACAAAUUAUUUUAUAUAAGGCUUAAUUUCCUCAUUGGUAAAUUUAAGAUUUUUUUUUGCAGAGAUUUGUGAGAUAUAAUUUUAAGUUCCUCACACAUAGCAGGUGCUCAAUACAUACUGCAUGGUAGCCAUGUUUUUUUUUUUUUAAUCGAAGUGUAAUUGAUAUACAAUGUUGUGUUAAUUUCUGCUAUACAGCAAAGUGAUUCAGUUAUACAUAUGUAUAUACUCUUUUAUAUGGUUUGUCAUAGAACAUUGAAUGUAGUUCUCUGUACUAUACAGUAGGACCUUGUUUGUCCCUCCAUAUAUAAAGCUUACAGCUGGUAAUUCCAACCUUCCAUUCCAUCCUUCCCCACCUCCACUUGGCAACCAAAAGUCUGUUCUCCUUGUCCAUGAGUUUGUUUCUGUUUCGUGACAGGUUCACUUGUGUCAUAGUUUAGUUCCUACAUAUGAUUUAUAUCAAAUGGUAUUUGUCUUUCUCUAUAUGACUUACUUCACUUAGUAUGAUAAUCUCUAGUUGCAUCCAUGUUGCUACAAAUGGCAUUACGUCAUUAUUUUUACGGCUGAAUAGUAUUCCAUUGUACAUAUGGAGCACAUCUUCUUAAAUCAUUCAUCUGUUGAUGAACAUUUAUGUUGUUUCCAUGGCUUGGCUAUUAUAAAUUGUACUGUUAUGAACAUAGGGGCGCAUAUAUCUUUUUGAAUUAUAGUUUUGUCUGGAUAUAUCCCCAAGAGUGGGAUUGCUAGAUCACAUAUAAUUCUAUCUUCUGUAGUUUUCUGAGGAACCUCCAUACUAUUUCCCACAGUGGUUGUACCAAUUUACAUUCCCAACAAGAAUGUAGGAGGGUUCCCUUUUCUCCACAGCCUCUCUAGCAUUCGUUAUUUGUAAAUUUGUUAAUGAUGGCCAUUGCGACCAGUAUGAGAUGAUACCUCAUUGUAGUUUUGAUUUGUAUUUCUCUAAUAAUUGGUGAUGUUGAGCAUUUUUUUAUGUGCCUAUUGGCCAU
rnacentral:lncRNA from 1 species